CGUGUAGGCGGCUGGGCAAGUCGGAUGUGAAAGCCCGGGGCUCAACCCCGGAAUUGCAUUCGAAACUGCUCAGCUAGAGUCUCGGAGAGGAGGGCGGAAUUCCCGGUGUAGAGGUGAAAUUCGUAGAUAUCGGGAGGAACACCAGUGGCGAAGGCGGCCCUCUGGACGAUGACUGACGCUGAGACGCGAAAGCGUGGGGAGCAAACAGGAUUAGAUACCCUGGUAGUCC
rnacentral:rRNA from 1 species